GGGACUCACCUGAAAUUGCUGGUUAGAAAGGGAAGCAGUGGCCCACUUUUCAGUAGAUUUUAUACUUCUCAAGACGUGAACAUUCCGGGGCAGGUAAAGUUCCUAUGGAAAGUGCUUAGUGUCCACGAGAUUGGCUAUAAAAACAACCGUGAAUAUGACUAGCUUUGAGAGUCAGAAACUCUGAUCAUCUGCCAAGGCUCUCCACCGGCAAGAAAAAGGUGAAGGCAGAACUGGCACUGAUCAUCUUCUGAAUUCCCUUUCAAGGUUGAAAAUAUGGAUAGCACAGCCCAAUCUUUGCUAUUGAUGUUCUUAUGAGCCAAAUGGUUGUUGCAAAAUAAGAUUCUAGUCAUUGUGUCUAAGCCCAAAGCCAUGAGAUGGAGGAAUACACUCUUCCCUCAUUGAGGAGUUGACUCUCCUAUAAGUCAUGAAACUUAUGAAUUUGAAGCAAGUAGAAGCCUGCUAAGUUCUUGUGCACCGAGGCUUUUCUUUUGGAAUGCCGUCUUGAGACCACCAUGAUAUGGAGAAACUCCCCGGGAAGGAGCCCAGGUGAAAGGCCAUGUGGAGAGAGAGGUCCAGCCAUUCCAGGCUUUGCAGAUAAGUUCAAACCCUGGCCAAUUAGCCAGCUUAAUGCAGCAUAUGAGGGAGCCCAGGGUUUCUGCAAGUGGAUUAAUCAGCCCUGUGUAUUCAUUCUACCACCAGAGCAACAAUUCAUUUUGAUUAUUAUGUUACGAAUACCAGCGACAUUCAAUAGACCUUGCAGAGAAAUGUAUAUGAGCUUGGGCAAAUAUCCACUGUAGCACACGAGACAGAUCAGAUAAUAAUAGCAGCUGCAGGUUCUGGAACAUCACAGAGUCCCUCCAUGAUACCCACUGAAUUGGAAUGUCAACCUGGUGAUGUAGUUCAUCCUUAUCACCUAAAAAAUUCUACAGUAAUGGCAAAUAUAGCACAUGUGUUUAAAAAUCAGUAUUCAUAUCACCUUUUGUACAGUCCAAAUAGCUUUAAUAGUGAAUGUCCAAGAGCCUUUACAUUAAUUGCUAAAUGCCGAUAGUAAGAAAGUAAAUGAAAUUUAACCCCAACCCUCCCUAGGGGCUGUGGG
rnacentral:lncRNA from 1 species